rnacentral:tRNA from 1 species
GUUUAUAUAGUUUAUAUUAAAAUUUUACAUUUUCAUUGUAAAGAUAAAUUAUUUUUAUAAAUA